rnacentral:rRNA from 1 species
AUUGAACGCUGGCGGCAUGCCUUACACAUGCAAGUCGAACGGCAGCGCGGGGCAACCUGGCGGCGAGUGGCGAACGGGUGAGUAAUAUAUCGGAACAUACCCUAGAGUGGGGGAUAACGUAGCGAAAGUUACGCUAAUACCGCAUACGAUCUAAGGAUGAAAGUGGGGGAUCUUCGGACCUCAUGCUCAUGGAGUGGCCGAUAUCUGAUUAGCUAGUUGGUGAGGUAAAGGCUCACCAAGGCGACGAUCAGUAGCUGGUUUGAGAGAACGACCAGCCACACUGGAACUGAGACACGGUCCAGACUCCUACGGGAGGCAGCAGUGGGGAAUUUUGGACAAUGGGCGAAAGCCUGAUCCAGCCAUGCCGCGUGUCUGAAGAAGGCCUUC